rnacentral:rRNA from 1 species
UACGUAGGGAGCAAGCGUUGUCCGGAUUUACUGGGUGUAAAGGGUGCGUAGGCGGCACAGCAAGUCAGAAGUGAAAUCCAUGGGCUUAACCCAUGAACUGCUUUUGAAACUGUUGUGCUUGAGUGAUGUAGAGGUAGGCGGAAUUCCCGGUGUAGCGGUGGAAUGCGUAGAGAUCGGGAGGAACACCAGUGGCGAAGGCGGCCUACUGGGCAUUAACUGACGCUGAGGCACGAAAGUAUGGGUAGCAAACAGG